UAAAUUGCAUGUUGUUAUCUUGUGCAUGCUGCUAGUUGAGUGAUAAUUGUGUUUUAGCAGGUUUAAAAUUUUUAGGAAAGUCCAUUUUUCAAGGGAGACUCUGCUGAAAUUUAUGUAAAAAGUCUCGUCCCUUUUUAGUAAGUGGGCCCGGUAUCAGUAUGAUGUCAGAUAAUCCACAGAAUUCGUUUUGAAUUCCGAGGAAUUCGGGGUCAGUCCUGUCAUACCAUCUCGAAUCCCAAGCGC
rnacentral:lncRNA from 1 species